rnacentral:rRNA from 1 species
ACAAUACCGUUCGCCAGAGAACUACAAGCAAAAAACUAGAAACUCUAAGGACUUGGCGGUGCUUCACAUCAACCUAGAGGAGCCUGUCCUAUAAUCGAUACCCCACGCUAAACCUUACCAUCUUUUGCCACUCAGCCUAUAUACCGCCGUCGUCAGCUUACCUUGUAAAAGAAAAAUAGUAGGCAAAACAGUCAACAACUAACACGUCAGGUCAAGGUGUAGCACAUAAGAUGGAAGAGAUGGGCUACAUUUUCUACCACAGAACAUACGAAUGAUACAAUGAAAUACGUACCUAAAGGUGGAUUUAGUAGUAAGAUAAAAAAGCAACACUAUCUUAAACAUGCUCUGAAGCGCGCACACACCG